UUAAGAUUCCCUCUUCUUGAUACAUGGAUCAUCCGACGGCCCUCAAUUCACAGAUCACACAAACCUAAAUGGGUCGGGUUUGUUUCAUGUCAAUUAAUCUAACACUGAAUCUGAUAUGAUAUGCUUUUUUUAAAAAACACCCUGUUUUUUUUCUUUGCUUUCUUUCUCGCUCUCUCACUUCUUCUCUCUUGCUCCUUUGAAGAAUCAAAACCCUUGGUUAAGCUCUCAUUGAUCUUCUCCAGAUUUGUGAGGACCCAGCAGUUCGAAGAAUAGCUGAACAAUCAAAUUAUGGUGGCGGUCCAUUCUACACAACAAACCCAACUAGUGUUCCUUCAGCUUCAAAUUCUAGACUUUCACCUCUUCCUCCAGAACCUGCUGAUUUCUACAAUGACCUAAGUGCAACAGUUGAUAUUCCUCUUGAUUCAACAAAGGAUUUAAAGAAAAAGGAGAGGGAGCUUUAAGCCAAGGAGGCAGAACUGAAUAAAAGAGAACAUGAGCUAAAACGGAGAGAAGAUGCUGCAGCAUGAGGUACAUACUUAUAUUU